UACGUAGGGUGCAAGCGUUGUCCGGAAUUAUUGGGCGUAAAGAGCUCGUAGGCGGUUUGUCGCGUCUGCUGUGAAAACUCGGGGCUUAACUCCGGGCCUGCAGUGGGUACGGGCAGACUAGAGUGCGGUAGGGGAGACUGGAAUUCCUGGUGUAGCGGUGGAAUGCGCAGAUAUCAGGAGGAACACCGAUGGCGAAGGCAGAUCUCUGGGCCGUAACUGACGCUGAGGAGCGAAAGCGUGGGGAGCGAACAGG
rnacentral:rRNA from 1 species